ACUGUAUAGUGUUGCUAUGUUGCUAGGCAACAACUCACUGCCCGUUCUGCCCAGACUACAGUGGGUAGGCAGAGUGGGGGAAUCAAACUUCAACCCCCCCCCGAUCUGCUAUUGGUCGGUCACUUCUGACUGACCAACAGCAGGGAUAUCCCUCCUAUCCCUUCAGGGGGGGGGGUGUCUUGGACACUCCAUAUGCCCCUUAUUUUCCGGGUCACCGGAGACCCGUAUGACCCGGAAUCGCCGCAAAUUUGCGGUGGUCACCGACAUUGGAGGGUCUAAGGACCCCCCAGGGGUCUGCACGGGGUGCCUGCUGAAUGAUGGGAUGGUCCGGUCCCCGCCCGGUGAGUGGCGGCGAUCGGGAUUCCCACGGGUGUACAGGUAUGCCCUGGGUCCUUAAGUACCAGGAAGCCAGGGUGUACCUGUACGCCCUUGGUCUCUAAGUGGUUAAAAAAAGUAUUGGUACUCAUGCUCGGUCUUAAAAAAAAGUCUGGAAAAAAAAAUGGUAAGGGGACAUCCCUAAUAACUAGAUUUAUUUGGCAUGACUAUUUGUCUUACAAGUAGAGAAUUUCAAAUCUAGAGAAAUGCAAAAAAACACUGCAUGUCUAAACAAAAUGUACUACUAAUAUAAAGUACAAUAUGUCACAAAAAACCUCAAGCAUAAAAAAACUAAAAAAGUCAAUUCUAGUUUUCACAGUUCACCAGUUUGUACGAAGGCGUACAGUAAGUAUUCUAGUUUGUAUAAAGUAAAUAAACAACAGAGAGAAGGGAGCUAUUUGAAAAAAUACACAAUAAAUCUUUAUUGAAGAAAAUUUACACAUUCAAAGCAGUGUAUGAAUAAAAACAUUAUAAAACAGGAGGAAUAGACGACAAAGAGGCGGCAAAACCUGGGACAAAACACUUGUCAAGCAGUAAUGGAUAUAAUUCAUAAAAGUACCAUGUAAACAGAAAGAUGUAUAGCAGCUGAAAAUUUAAGUGUGCAAAAUGGCAGGGAAUCUGGACAACAUAAGUCCUAAAGUGCAGGUGCAAUUCACUAUCUGCCACAAUAAGCACAAGAGUAGUGAAGCUGAACAAACAUCAUUUACAACUAUUACAUACCAAAUUAUGUAAAGAAGUACUGCAAGUCCCAGGAUGCCGCCACCCCUGAGAUAUGGGAAAAGGAUAUUUCAGACAGAAAAAGUAAGAAAUUUAUGAGAGAUUCAAAUGAUGUAGCAGUAGGUCGUGUCUACAAAUGGCCCCGCCCACAACCAGAUAAUAAUCGAGGGGGCCCGAGAUCUCGUUCUAGAUCUAGCUCUAUCUCUUCAAUGUCUUCAGCAAGUGAGAGCAGCUCUGGGCAUGGGCGAUUUAACUAUCGUAAUCGUCAACUGAAAAGGAAAAAUGAAAUUCCUCAAACCUCAGUAAAACGUAAACCAGAAUCACAAGCUGGACUAACUCCUGGAGACGCUAAUCUCAAGGUAAUCAAUCUAUCUAGCUAUCAAUUUUCUGAAGUUGAUCUGUCAGUUCUUGCCAAAGGUUUAACCUUUUCACCAUCCGCCAACUUUGAUCUCUUUACAGCAGUAAAGGACCUACAUUUAUUUGCACGGUCACUGAUUUUUAAAAAGUGGUUUCACAGAAGGGAAUUGGAGGAAUUCUCAACAGUAGAAGAAAGGGCAGCACUUUGUAUUUUGGAUGAACUGUUACUGGAACAGGACACACCCCUAGAACAGCAGGUACCUCAGAGUAUUAAAAAACGAUCCCAAAAAUUCCUCCCAUUAUCUGUAUGACCACCUGUUGAACUAUUUGUAAAAUUAGUAACAAAUGAAUUUCAAAAAUUGGCCAAAACUAUUUGUAAUGAUAAUCUAACACAUCAACAGCAAGAGUCACUUAGACGUCUUUGUAGUCUACCUGACAUUGUGUAUAAACCCACAGAUAAGGGGGGCAAUAUAGUGGUGUGGCCCCAAAAAAUGUAUGAGGCUGAGGCAUACCGUCAGCUGAGAGAUCAAGAAACUGACCUAUAAUCCCUUGUCUUCUUUCCAAUCUAGUCUGCACCACAUCUUGGAUGCGGCAAAAACAGCUAGUACAAUCUUUAAGGAAAUGGCUGAUGUGUUAAAAGUUACACACCCUAUGAUACCCACGUUAUAUUUAUUACCUAAGGUGCACAAAAAUCAGACACGCCCCCCAGAGACACCACUGAACUACUACAAAGGAUUGAGGGAAUCCAUCUAGAACCGGAUACCCUAUUGGUCACUUUAGGCAUCGAGUCAUUGUAUACCAGCAUUCGACAUACAGACGGCAUUACAGCACCACAAUUUUUCCUGGAAACCCGCAGUUACUCACAAGACAUGAGCGUGACUCUACUGGACAUCUACAGACCAACGUAUUUCGUAAAGAGACAUCGGUAAAUUCUUACUGACAUGCUUCAACGGCACAUCCUCCACACAUGAUAAGAGCAGUACCUUACGGGCAAUAUCUUCGGGCCAGGAGAAUUUGCUCCACUGAAUCGACAUUCCAUCAGCAGGCAGAUGAUUUAAGACAACGCUUUAAGGACAGAGGAUAUAGCAAUCGGAAUAUCAAGAAGGCCUACAAUCGUGCUAAAGUUCAACAAAGAUCCCAACUUCUACGACCUAAACAACCACUACCUACUAAUGAGCAGGUACGUUUUGUCACUAAAUUUAAUGUACAGUGGCAUCAAAUGUACCAAUGUAUGGAGAAGUUCUGGCCCAUACUGACGGUUGAUCCCAUUUUAAAACAGUAUGUGACAGACAGACCAGCAAUAACGGCACGUAGAGUGCAGAAUCUCAAAGAUAUGUUGGUUAAAAGUGAAUAUAUCCCUAUACCAUCACAUCCAUUUGGGAUAGUGAAUCAGCGGUUAGGGUGUGUACCAUGUGGACGGUAUGUGGCCUGUCCAAACAUUGAGCGAACUUCUGUUUUUACAGAUUCUUCAGGCUCAAGACAAUUCUCUAUUCGACACUUCAUCACCUGCUCAACAAAAGGUGAAACAGGUGAAAAUCUAUUAUGCAACUUGCCCUUGUACCAAGAUAUAUGUGGGACUUACCACUCGGGCCAUGAAAAUCCGUGUAAGGGAGCAUGUGUGGGACAUCAAUCUGGCACGGGCAACAGAGGUCUUAGAAGAUCUGAAACCGUUAGCGAAACAUUUCAAGCAAAUGCACAACUGUGACCCUUCUAUAUUAAAGAUCCGUGGAAUCGACCACAUAGACCUAGAUUAUGUCACAGUGCUAUGUUUUCUUCUCAUGAGAGUGUUUAUGAAUAUGGAAUCGUACUCCUCGGAUCCCUGAUAUAUCUCUAGCCAACCAUUAGACAUAUUGACUUGUUUAUUCCUUUUGGGAUGGAGCGGCAUAGGGGCUCUUGAAAUGUUCAUUGGAGCAUGUUAAUAUAUAUUUUUUCACAAUAUAUUUGUCACUUCACCUCAUGUGUGCUGCACUUUUUAAGUUUUUUCACGCUUUUUUGCAUGUCUUUGCCACUUAUUACGUUGUUGGUUGGCCUCCGCGCAUGGUUGUAUGUGCACUACAUCCAUGCGAUAAGCGGUGGUCGCCCAACAAUUACUGUACAUUAAUGUGUUAAAAUGAUCUUAUUUAUAUAUAUUCUUUCAUCCAAUAUUCACUUAUUAAUAUUAUUUUUAUUUAUGUAUGGUUAUAUUUUACACCACAUAAUUUUACCCCCAAAUACA